UGACAGUAUUUUGACACUAAUUUAGGACACAUAUGUUGUUAGAAUUAAUCAUUAACUUUUAUAGCGCUAAUAAUCAAUUUCUCUGUCCAUUUAAUUAAUAUGUUUAUCUACUUCAAAUUUCCAAUACACGAUUGUUUACGUGGCUGAUAUAAACAGAGUGACCUCUUUCAUAAAAAUUAUAUAAUCGAAUUGUACAAAUACAAUUGACCCUAACCAUAUUUGGAACCAAUACGCGAUUGUUUACGUGGCCGAUAUAAACAGAGUGACCUCUUUCAUAAAAAUUAUAUAAUCGAAUUGUACAAAUACAAUUGACCCUAACCAUAUUUGGAAAUUUCUAAUUUUAUCAUGAUUGCUAUAUAAGUCAAAACACAAUUGACCCUAACCAUAUUUGGAAAUUUCUAAUUUUAUCAUGAUUGCUAUAUAAGUCAAAAUUCUGCUUUGAGACGUCAGAGUUUGAAUUUUGAAUCUUAUAGGUGUCAGUUGAUCCCGGUCUGUCUCUACAACAUCAGGACAGCUGGCCUGCUUUCAACAACGGUAGCAGAGCCGCAAUGUCUCAUUUCAUUCGAGACAUAAGCUAGUUUUCCCCACAUUAUGUAAAGGUCCCAACAUCAACUCUCACAGAUGUAGUGUGUCUGUCGAGAGUCCGAAAGGAAGCAGACCAUGUUUCAGUACCAGAAUAUUCAAUUAUUCUCAUUACAAUAAUUGGUGGACGACCCUUAAAGCUGACAUCUAUACAGACAUCUAUAAAAGUCAAAGUUUAUCAUCACAUCCAGACCAAAUAACAUGCUAGAAGGACAAUUCGAACAUUAACUAUUUGCAGUUGGACAUAAUUUUCGUAACUUUCAAACUUUUGGAUUCCAUAGUAUAUACAGAAUAUUUCAUUUGUGACAUUUAGAAAAUCAACAAAAAGGAUACAGUAUGCAGAACUAUGUUAGAACAUUUAUUAACAUCAGUGACAAUAACAAUUGUAAAGUUAUAUUAUUGUGUAUUGUUUAAAAUAUGUAUUUUCAUGAAACUGUAAGUAGUUCCAAAAUGAUAAAUAAGAAAUUUAAUUUUGAUUUUAAGAUUUCCAGCGAUGAAACUAAAUCUUCAUUUUUAUUUUCAUAAACUACAUUGUGUUUCAUAUCUGUAAAUUUUUAAUUGAAAUGACUAAAACAUUGAUAAUUAAGUUAGCAAAUUUGCUCGAUAAAAUGUUGUUAAUUAUGUAUUCAUUUAAAUUUUCAUUUCAUUGAAUAACUUUUCAGAAUAUUAUUUGCAUAUAGUUUUUUACUAAGAUUAGAUUGAAUUUUAUUUAAAGGACACAUAAAGUGAAUCCCCUUGUAAAAUUAAUCUACAUGGAACAUGGUAGAAAGUCCUGUUGCCAUUUGCUGUACAGAAAAUCGUACAAUAUAGUCAUAAAAAUAGUGUAGAUAUUAACUUAAUAUUGAGAUUGGGCUACCUCAAACUAGGAGCGCCACAUAUAUAUAAGAGCAUAAAAAUGGGCUACCUGAAAGAAGGAACGCCACAAAUAAAAUGGGUUACCUCGCAGGUAGGAACGCCAUGCAUACGAUUAACAGUAACUUAGAGACUAAAAAGAUGCUUAAUUAAAUUCUGUUAAAAGUUUAUUCUGCAUAAUCAUAAUUCAUUUUGAAUUACAACAUUUUGUUGAAACCUUUAGGCGUAUAUAAUUAUUGUACCAUAAAUUUCAUAAUUUUUAAAUAAAUGUCCAAUUGUAAAUUGAGCAAAUAGAAGAAUAAUAAUAAUAAAUAAAUAAUAAUAAUAACAUUUAAAACUAUUGUGGAAAGUUCACAUCAUAAAUAAAACCAACAAUAAGAAAUGUGAUUAAAAAAAAUAAACUCUCAAAAAAAUGAAAAAAAUAAAAAAAGAGAAAAAUGUUAAAACAAAGUUCAUUCCUUAUUCUUGCUUUAUAUUUAACUUAAUUGUCUACUUUGUUAUUUUGAAGUUUCAUAUGGAUAUUAAUUAUUUACUGAAAUUAAUAAUUAAAAGUUAUAAAUCCAAUAAUCAAUUUAGUAAAUUAUGAUAUUUUAAGUUGCUCUAAAUCUUAUAAAAUUAUUAAUUUUUUUUUCUAAUUAAUUUAAAUCUUGGGACAAGAUUUUCUAAAGGAGAAAGAUCUAUUGUGACAGUAUUUUGACAUUAAUUUAGGACACAUAUGUUGUUAGAAUUAAUCAUUAACUUUUAUAGCGCUAAUAAUCAAUUUCUCUGUCCAUUUAAUUAAUAUGUUUAUCUACUUCAAAUUUCCAAUACACGAUUGUUUACGUGGCUGAUAUAAACAGAGUGACCUCUUUCAUAAAAAUUAUAUAAUCGAAUUGUACAAAUACAAUUGACCCUAACCAUAUUUGGAACCAAUACGCGAUUGUUUACGUGGCCGAUAUAAACAGAGUGACCUCUUUCAUAAAAAUUAUAUAAUCGAAUUGUACAAAUACAAUUGACCCUAACCAUAUUUGGAAAUUUCUAAUUUUAUCAUGAUUGCUAUAUAAGUCAAAACACAAUUGACCCUAACCAUAUUUGGAAAUUUCUAAUUUUAUCAUGAUUGCUAUAUAAGUCAAAAUUCUGCUUUGAGACGUCAGAGUUUGAAUUUUGAAUCUUAUAGGUGUCAGUUGAUCCCGGUCUGUCUCUACAACAUCAGGACAGCUGGCCUGCUUUCAACAACGGUAGCAGAGCCGCAAUGUCUCAUUUCAUUCGAGACAUAAGCUAGUUUUCCCCACAUUAUGUAAAGGUCCCAACAUCAACUCUCACAGAUGUAGUGUGUCUGUCGAGAGUCCGAAAGGAAGCAGACCAUGUUUCAGUACCAGAAUAUUCAAUUAUUCUCAUUACAAUAAUUGGUGGACGACCCUUAAAGCUGACAUCUAUACAGACAUCUAUAAAAGUCAAAGUUUAUCAUCACAUCCAGACCAAAUAACAUGCUAGAAGGACAAUUCGAACAUUAACUAUUUGCAGUUGGACAUAAUUUUCGUAACUUUCAAACUUUUGGAUUCCAUAGUAUAUACAGAAUAUUUCAUUUGUGACAUUUAGAAAAU